AGUGAACGCUGGCGGUAGGCCUAACACAUGCAAGUCGAACGGCAGCACAGUAAGAGCUUGCUCUUACGGGUGGCGAGUGGCGGACGGGUGAGGAAUACAUCGGAAUCUACUUUUUCGUGGGGGAUAACGUAGGGAAACUUACGCUAAUACCGCAUACGACCUACGGGUGAAAGCAGGGGAUCUUCGGACCUUGCGCGAUUGAAUGAGCCAAUGUCGGAUUAGCUAGUUGGCGGGGUAAAGGCCCACCAAGGCGACGAUCCGUAGCUGGUCUGAGAGGAUGAUCAGCCACACUGGAACUGAGACACGGUCCAGACUCCUACGGGAGGCAGCAGUGGGGAAUAUUGGACAAUGGGCGCAAGCCUGAUCCAGCCAUACCGCGUGGGUGAAGAAGGCCUUCGGGUUGUAAAGCCCUUUUGUUGGGAAAGAAAAGCAGCAGGUUAAUACCCCGCUGUUCUGACGGUACUCAAAGAAUAAGCACCGGCUAACUUCGUG
rnacentral:rRNA from 1 species